rnacentral:lncRNA from 1 species
GGACGCCUUAUAAGAUUCUUGGGCAGUUUGCAAUUGAAGCUUCAAUAUAGUUUGAAGUUGCGAAAGCUCCUUCACCAAUCCUUCAGCUGCCGGAUUGUUAAUCGUUGACGAACUCCAUAAGUCAAGCUUCGGAUGGUAUCCAUAAUUGGAAAAGAAUGGCGUUUGUUGAGUUGACGCAUGAAGGGUGUUGUUAUAUGCGAACU